GAAGCGGCAGCCGCUGUCUCUUUAAAUCUCCGCUUGUUUUGGCAUUGGUGCUCGCGCUCACCCCCUCCCUUUUCUUUGCUGCUUUUCAAUCCCUGUGUGAGCAAAAGGGCUUCCUCUGCAGGGAAGGAAGGGAAAUGCCUGCCUGCCGGAGGAGGCGGAGGAGGCCAGCAGCAGCAGCAGCAGCAGCAGCAGCCGCCCUGGGCAUCUCACAGCGACCAGCAAGUGGUGGGGACCUUCCAGCUGCAACAAGCUGAUAGCGGCGAUGGGGCAGGGCGACGACGGCUCCCCGCAGCACUGACCGCCCCCCGCUGCUGUCGCCACCGCCUGGCCGAGCCAGCCUGCCCGAAAGGGUUCCUCCGGAUACUUUUGGGAAGAGAGAGGGGGGGCGUUCCUGCCGCCGCCGCCGCUACUUCUACUACUCGUGUCGCUUUCUGCCCCCCCACGAAACUUGGCUGAGCAGAUUUGCUCUCCCGGUUUCCCAUCCACCCACCUAUGCCCCGACUUGAAUUUUAGCCGCCCGGGGGCUUCGGCUUAGGGAGCCACUCUGAUCGCCUGGCCGGGAACAUGAUUUGAAGACGGGGAGGCGAGACGGGAAGCGAGAGAGAGAGAGAGAGCGGCGACUUGGGGGAGACUCCGGAAGAUGAGCCACGCAGAUCUUACAAAACCACCACUAGCACCAAAACCAAAGAUUCUCAAUCAUCUUGCUUCCAUAGCUGCUUCCAAAUUUCAUCCAUCACUAUCAAGGUCUGGUGCACUUCACAAUUCAAACUCUAUGUCUAGGGGUCCAAAGCCACCCAUUGCUCCCAAGCCAAAAAUCUCUGCUGACAACGACCCAGCGAUUAUACAGAGAUCCAGUGUUCAUGCAAACAAUACUUUUAACAAAUGUACCAAUGGAAAACUGGAGGGAGAGCUUUAUGAAGGAAAUCAGUGCAACAACACAGAGCUCUUAGAAGCAGAAGUUGGUGAUGAAUAUAUUGUAAUUUCUGAAGAUGAAUUGAUUGAUCAAGAUUAUGACUUUGAACAUGAGCAAGAACCGACAGAGAAUGAGAUCUUAUACACGCCUGAAGAAGCAGGUGAAGAAGAGGUUAACUGCACCAACAAUAAUGAGAUCUGUGAUCUUGAAAUAAAUGUACUGGAAAACAAUGACACUGAACCAGUGGGAGAUGACUCAGCUCAGUCAAUCAAAAUUCAAGCUCUUGGCAGCUGUGAAGCACCUGAAAAGGAAAAGAAGGAUGCUUCUAAGGAUGGAUAUGAAAAUGUGGAUUGUGAAACUGAUCCCAAUGAGAAGAAAAUGAACUUCACAGAUGAGUCUGAUGAAACACUCCGAGAACUGGACCUGGUAAAGGAUAAUAGUGAGUAUAACAUGGACAAUAAGAUUUUGAAUGGAGAUGAUGCUUUGGAGGACACUAUAUGUGAAGACAUUAUUUUAAGACAUUUAGAGGAGCCAAAGUCAUCUUCAGAGGAUCAACCACCAAUUUGUGAGGAUCCAGGAAAAGAGGGUCAACCUCAGAUUUUAGAAGAGGAACAACUGAAUGCUAACACAGAAAUUGGCCCAACAGAUAAUGAUGGGGAUGAAUCAGCCUUGAAUAUAGAGACAGAGCUUACAGAGGAUGUUUAUGCAAGCCCAGAUUAUCACCUUACUAAUGAUUCCGAAGAAGGAGAUACUGGAUUAGAACUAUAUGAACCUGGGCCCGAUCCUGAAGGGACUUUGAGAGAGACCACAAAUGAAGCUAAUGUUGAAAAAGUGGAGGAAAUAGAUCCAGAUAAUGAAUGUGAAACAAGUAUAGAACAGGAAGAAAAUACAGAUGAUGGCUACCAAACCACUGAGAUGAAAAGUGAGGAGGAAACAUCAGAAACAGUGUGUGAUACAAGGGAAGACUCUGAAGAGCAACAUGAUGACGUGGUAGAUACAGAGACCAUGGAGGAUAGCUGCCAGAUUAUUCCCUUUGAAAAAGAGUGCAGCGAGGAUACUCCUGAGUCUCCUGAAAAAAAUUUAGAUGAAGAUUUGCCAUCAGAAGAGACUGAAAUUAUUAAUGAUAACCAGCCCUUCAGUCUUCAAGAUGUUAAUGGGCUUGAGUCUGAUUCACAGCUGGCAGAAAGAUCCAGGUCAGAUGUUUUACUUGGAAAUCAGAGUAUAAGUGAAUGUGCUUUGGAAGGUACACAAUCAGAUAACCAAAUGUUUGAAGUGGAUCACAGCAAUGGUGAAGAAACUAUCCCAAGUACAGUUUAUGAAACAUCAGCUGAAGAUACCUGGAACUCCAUAGGAGAACUGGACAUAUGCCACCACAGAAAAACCGAAACGGACUCAAGCAGGGAAUAUGUGCUUGAUGAAAUCUCACCAGUCCCUGUGGUGGUUGUUCUUGAUAAUGAGGAAGAAAUAGCCAGUGACUCCCUAGAUGACCCAUACGUAUUGGGAGACAGUUUGUCUUCAGCAAAUGAAAUCCUUUGUACUGGAAAAGAAAUGGGGGAGGCUGAUGUCCAUGAUAGUUCAAGUGAUUUCAGAGAAGGAGGGAGUAUGGACAGUGAAAACCACUUGCUCUCCAUUGAUCGGAAAAACAUUGUUACUAGAACAAGGUCCCUCUCUGGGAAAGUGCCUGGCUAUGUGCCAGAAACAGUUCCAGAAGAAACAGGCCCAGACACUGAACUGCAGCCCUCAACCACAGCCUCCACCACGACUGAAGAUGUAAGCCAUAGCUUCUCUCUGUCAGACGGAAAGUCCAUGGAAUUAAACAGAGCACUACCUGCAAAGCCAAGGCGCUUUGUUUUAUAUCCUCGAUCUUAUUCGGUAGAAGGCAGAGACAUCCCUGUCUCUGUAUAUAGAGAAAGUGAUAGCUCUAUGUUAGAUUACAAUAGAAUAAAUAGGACAGAAGACCUUUCUUUGCCUUAUGUAAUUGGUUCCUCAGGUAGCUUUUCCCAGAGGAAUCACCUUCCAUCCAGUGGGGUCUCCACCCCCUCCUCAGUUGUGGAUAUUCCACCUCCCUUUGAACUAGCGUGUAUCACCAAAAAGCCCAUCACGAAAAGUUCGCCUUCACUUUUAAUAGAGAAUGAAUCGCCUGAUAAGUACUGCAAGAAAAAGAAGUCCUCUUUUAAGAAGUUCCUCACCCUAAAGUUCAAGAAAAAGACAGAAAAUAAAGUCCAUGUGGAUGUGCACAUUUCUUCUUCCAGGUCCUCUUCAGAGUCUAGUUAUCACGGGCCUUCCAGGGUCAUAGAACUCGACAGGAGGAGCUUGAGUAGCUCACCUCAGCUAAUAUCACGGACUGGCAAGCUGAGGGCUUCUGAGUCCCCAACUGUUCUCUUCUACAAGGAUGGAAAAAGAAAAGGGACUCCCAAAACCUUUAGCCGGAGUGUGUCAAGGGUGGAGUCCUUUGAGGAUCGUUCGAGACCUCAUUUCAUGCCCCUUCCUUUAACUAAACCCAGGUCUAUUUCAUUUCCUAAUGCUGAUACUUCUGACUAUGAGAAUAUCCCAGCAAUGAACUCUGAUUAUGAAAACAUACAAAUACCCCCACGAAGGCCAACCAGAGCAGGAACCUUUACUGAGUUUUUUGAAGAUCCUAGCAGGGCAUUAUCUGCCGCAAACGAGAAUGAUGGCUAUGUGGAUAUGAGCAGUUUUACAGCCUUUGAGAACAACAAGCAGCAACCUACCAACCAGGAAACUGAAAGUGCCUAUACAGAGCCUUACAAAGUGUGCCCUAUCUCUGCAAUUCCCGUUGAAGACAUCAUAUCGGAUGAGGAACAGAAAAGUUCUGGAGAUGAGGAUGUUAACCAGGGGGAUUCCAACCUCACCCAUAAGCUUGAAGAUCCUCUGUGGCGCAGAGUGGUAAGCAGCGGUAACGCAGCCGAAGCUCUGCUCACGGCCGGAGUUCGAUUCCAACAGAAGGAGGAAGUCGAAUCUCUGGUAAAAGGGGUCGAGGUCCACUCAGCCUUCCAUCCAUCCGUGAAAGAAGGACAAUCCAGAGCCCAUCUCAUUGCCCAGGAGCUUGUGUCUUCAGAGAAAGUAUAUGUGGAGAUGCUCCGGCUAUUACAAAUGGAUUUCUACGAGGCUGUCUUAAAAGUGCUGGGAGAUGAUGAUGGCAAUGAUUAUGAAGAAGCAAAGCUCAAGAACGGGUUGAAUGAGAUCCCAGAAAUCUACAAAUUGCACCAAGAAAUAUUGGAAGAGCUGGAAGAAAAAGUUCUGAACUGGGAAGAUCAUCAGAAAGUGGCUGACAUUUUCCUCUCCAGAGUAUCAAGGUUCGGUCACCAUACAGCUUACAUUGUGCAGUUUGAUAGAAAUUUAGCUUUGAUGGAUGAAGCCCGUCUUAAAUCUUCCCAGCUGGAUACUAUCAUUCGGGAAUUUGAGCAGUUUUGUGGUGGCAGUCCCUUGAAUGUGAAGCACCAGCUCUUGAAAGUGGUGCAGCGUGUAUUUCAGUACCAUGUGCUACUCACAGAUUACUUGAAUAACCUUUGCCCUGAUUCUGCUGAGUAUGAAGAAACACAAGCUGCCUUGCUUAUCAUUUCUGAGGUUGCAGACCGAGCUAAUGACAGCAUGCAACAAGGGGAAAAUUUGCAGAAGCUGGUACAUAUAGAGUACAGUGUCAAGGGGCAGAGCAACCUCCUCCAACCAGGAAGGGUGUUUGUUAAAGAAGGAACGCUAAUGAAAGUAUGUGGGAAAAAUAGGCACCCUCGACAUUUGUUCUUGAUGAAUGAUGUUCUACUGUAUACAUUUCCCCAGAAGGAUGGCAAGUAUCGCCUGAAGAACACCUUGGCUGUUUCUGGCAUGAGGGUUAGCCGUCCAGUGACAGAAAAAGCACAAAAUGUCCUGAAGAUUGAAUAUGCUGAAAAUUGCCUAACUCUAUCAGCAAGCUCAUGCUCUGAAAGGGACGAGUGGUACAGCUGCAUCAAUAGAAGUAUCCCAGAUGACUACAGAGCUCACAGUACAGCUGCCUUUCAUAACAGUGUUGAACUUCGGGAACGGCUGGGAAUGUCUUUGGGUGAGAGGCCUCCAACCUUGGUUCCUGUGUCUCACGUCAUGAUGUGCAUGAACUGUGGUUGUGACUUCAAGCUCACACUGAGGCGUCAUCAUUGUCAUGCGUGUGGGAAGAUUAUAUGCCGGAAUUGUUCUAGAAACAAGUAUCCUCUGAAGUACCUCAAAGACCGACUUGCAAAAGUAUGCAAUGGCUGCUACGCUGAACUGAAGAGGAGAGAGCGGCCAAUAAGUAUGAGCUUUCCUACAAGUUCAUCCAGGUUUUCAGGCAGUGCCUUCUCUUCUGUCUUCCACAAUAUCCACUACUCAUCCUUCAAAAGACAAAAGAAAAUCCCUUCAGCUCUUUUGGAGGUGGCAGCUUCAGGAGAGGGCUCUUCUAUCAGUGGCUAUCUCAGCAGAUGCAAGAAAGGGAAAAGGCACUGGAAGAAGCUGUGGUUUGUCAUCAAAGGCAAAGUGCUCUACACCUAUACUGCAAGCGAGGAUAAAGUCGCCACCGAGAGUUUGCCUUUGCUGGGUUUCACAAUUGUCCCAGAAAAGGAAGACGGAAAUAUGGAUGCAGUUUUCCAUCUUUAUCACAAGCAAACUCUGUUUUAUAGCUUCCGAGCAGAGGAUAACAAUGCAGCAGAGAGCCAUGAAGCCCAUUGUGUGACCUUGGGCCAGACACAGUCUCUCAGCCUGACCUAUCUCACAGAGUUGGUGUAAGGAUAAAAUGGAAAGGAGGGGAACUAUAUGCGCCACCUUGAACAACUUGGAGAAAAGAUGGAUUGAAGCCAUGAAGGAAGCUUCUGUAUUAUAGCAGUUAUCAAUCAAGUGGACUUUGAAUAAAUACAUUUAUAUUUGCAACAGCACCCUUCUGUUGGAAGAAACAAGUGUAUAUAUCCCACUCUGGCUAAACACACAGGAGAGCACUAGUACAAGACUAUUUUGUUCCUUCCUCAAACUUACUUCCUUACAGGUGGAAACUUUUAAAAUAAGGAAUAUUUAUGGUUCUUUUUCCAUCUCUGCAAGUUCAUUCUUCACUGUAUUCCACUCCCGUAUAAUACAGUUGCAUCAUACUUUCAAGAUGUAGAAAAAAUGUAUGCAUUAUUUCAAAAAGAUGCUUACUCACUCAUAGCAACUGUUUCAGUUUUACUUAUUUAAGAGUACCAUCAAUUUGUUUUUCUGUCAGCCAUGAAACUGAAGUAUGGUGCCCUAUAUUUUAUUAAAACUACAGCUUCUUGCCGAAAGAGCUCUGGACUGACA